UGGGGAAUCUUGCGCAAUGGACGAAAGUCUGACGCAGCGACGCCGCGUGAGUGAUGAAGGCCUUCGGGUUGUAAAGCUCUGUGGGGAGGAGCGAAUAAGUAGAAGCUAACACCUUCUAUGAUGACGGUACCUCCUUAGCAAGCACCGGCUAACUCUGUGCCAGCAGCCGCGGUAAGACAGAGGGUGCAAACGUUGUUCGGAAUUACUGGGCGUAAAGCGUGUGUAGGCGGCUAUGUAAGUCGGAUGUGAAAGCCCCGGGCUCAACCCGGGAAGUGCACUCGAUACUGCGUAGCUUGAGUCUCGGAGAGGUUGGUGGAAUUCUCGGUGUAGAGGUGAAAUUCGUAGAUAUCGAGAGGAACACCGGUGGCGAAGGCGGCCAACUGGACGAAGACUGACGCUGAGACACGAAAGCGUGGGGAGCAAACAG
rnacentral:rRNA from 1 species